UACGUAGGGGGCUAGCGUUGUCCGGAAUCAUUGGGCGUAAAGAGCGUGUAGGCGGUCCGGUAAGUCCGUUGUGAAAGUCAAGGGCUCAACCCUUGAAUGCCGGCGGAUACUGUCGGGCUAGAGUCCGGAAGAGGCGAGUGGAAUUCCCGGUGUAGCGGUGAAAUGCGCAGAUAUUGGGAAGAACACCGGUGGCGAAAGCGCCUUGCUGGACCUGCACUGACACUGAGGGACGAAAGCUAGGGGAGCGAAAGGG
rnacentral:rRNA from 1 species